CCAAUAGCGUAUAUUAAAGUUGUUGCAGUUAAAAAGCUCGUAGUUGAAUUUCGGGAUCAAUUUGCUGGUCGUGCCUCUGGUACGUACUGGUAUUAUUGGUUUCUCCCUUCUGACGAACCAUGAUGUCAUUAAUUUGAUGUCGUGUAGAAUCAGGACUGUUACUUUGAAAAAAUUAGAGUGUUUAAAGCAGGCAUUAGCUUGAAUACAUUAGCAUGGAAUAAUGAAAUAGGACGUUUGAUCCUAUUUUGUUGGUUUCUAGGAUUGACGUAAUGAUUAAUAGGGAUAGUUGGGGGCAUUAGUAUUCAAUUGUCAGAGGUGAAAUUCUUGGAUUUAUUGAAGACUAACUACUGCGAAAGCAUUUGCCAAGGAUGUUUUCAUUAAUCAAGAACGAAAGUUAGGGGAUCGAAGACGAUCAGAUACCGUCGUAGUCUUAACCAUAAACUAUGCCGACUAGGGAUCGGAUGAUGUUAAUUUUUUAAUGACUCAUUCGGCGCCUUACG
rnacentral:rRNA from 1 species